GCAUGCUUACCAUGCAGUCGAGGGGUAGAAAUAUCCCUGGCGCACGGGUGCGUAACGCGUAGGCAAUCUGCCCUUCACACCGACAUAACAGUUCUAACGGAUUGAUAAUAUCGGAUGUUGUUAUUUCAUCACCUGAUGGGAUAAUGAAAGUUUAGGCGGUGAAGGAUGAGCCUGCGUCUGAUUAGGUAGUUGGCGGGGUAACGGCCCACCAAGCCGACGAUCAGUAGCUGGUCUGAGAGGAUGAUCAGCCACAUUGGGACUGAGACACGGCCCAGACUCCUACGGGAGGCAGCAGUGAGGAAUAUUGCGCAAUGGACGGAAGUCUGACGCAGCAAUGCCGCGUGCGGGAUGAAGGCGCUAUGCGUCGUAAACCGCUGUAGCGUGGGGCAAAAAGCACCCUCGGGGUGUUAGAUGGUACCACGAAAGUAAGCAUCGGCUAACUCCGUGCCAGCAGCCGCGGUAAUACGGAGGGUGCGAGCGUUAAUCGGAAUUACUGGGCGUAAAGCGCGCGUAGGCGGUUUGUUAAGUCGGAUGUGAAAUCCCCGGGCUCAACCUGGGAAUGGCAUUCGAUACUGGCCGACUAGGGUACGAGAGAGGGAGGUAGAAUUCCACGUGUAGCGGUGAAAUGCGUAGAUAUGUGGAGGAAUACCGGUGGCGAAGGCGGCCUCCUGGCUCGAUACUGACGCUGAGGUGCGAAAGCGUGGGUAGCAAACAGGAUUAGAUACCCUGGUAGUCCACGCCGUAAACGAUGUCUACUAGCCGUUGGGAGACUUGAUUUCUUAGUG
rnacentral:rRNA from 1 species